AACGUGGCAGCUUGGGUAGUUUGGUCUUUUCACAUCUUGAUCUCAUCCAUAUGAAGCCAGCACGACUUCUGGAGCUCAGUGGAGGUUGCUGAGGCUCAGAGCACCCUUCUUCUUCAUCUCUCUCUCUCUCUAGGGUUUUUCUCUCUCUACAUCGAAUUCGCCGAUUUUGCUCGUUUUCGUCGCCGCGCGCGUUCUUCGCUGGUUGCGAGUGUCGCAGCACCUUUGUGCACGUGCAAGAGAGCGUUUUGGAGGGAAUUUCGCAGCCUGGACCAGUGAGGUGCUGGUUGGAAGCCUGAGAAGGUCUUCGAGCCUCGUUGAGCUGAACUUGUACCUUUUGAAGCUGGUUUGGGAGGUAUUCUAACCUGAGCGAGAGGGUGUUUGACCCUUGGACCGCCUUCGUCUGGUCUUGGAGGACCUUCUGGAAGCUUAACGUGAGGUAUUGAA